rfam:Roseiflexus sp. RS-1, complete genome.
GGGGAUGACUGGUCUCGACAGGGAAGGAUGUCUCAGGUUGCAAGCCGAGCCGCCCAGUCUCGUUAAAGGGGCAACGGCAUAACUGCCAACACCAACAAAGUCGUCGCCUUCAAGCCGGCGAUGGCUCUGGCUGCCUAAACAAACAGCAGCCCGCUCCCUUGCUCUCACCCCGAUGGAGUAAGUUCGAGCGUCAGCAAGUCGGGGCGCUCCCGGCGAAUGCCUGCGGCGUCGGGCUAAGAUCAGCAGGAUGGCUCAAAGGUCGCUCUGUUCAUCGUGCGACCGCGAGCGACAGCAAACGAUGAACUAAGCUUGUAGACGCCUGAGUCUAACUUUUCUGGACGGGGGUUCGACUCCCCCCAUCUCCACCA